rnacentral:sRNA from 1 species
UGAAAACGGCAGAUGGCUGGGGAUUGG